rnacentral:rRNA from 1 species
GAUGAACGCUAGCGGCAGGCCUAACACAUGCAAGUCGAGGGGUAGAGGAAGCUUGCUUCCUUGAGACCGGCGCACGGGUGCGUAACGCGUAUGCAACCUACCUUGUACAGAGGGAUAGCCCAGAGAAAUUUGGAUUAAUACCUCAUAGUAUUAUUGAAUGGCAUCAUUUAAUAAUUAAAGUUCCAACGGUACAAGAUGAGCAUGCGUCCUAUUAGCUAGUUGGUGUGGUAACGGCAUACCAAGGCUACGAUAGGUAGGGGUCCUGAGAGGGAGAUCCCCCACACUGGUACUGAGACACGGACCAGACUCCUACGGGGGGCAGCAGUGAGGAAUAUUGGACAAUGGGCGCAAGCCUGAUCCAGCCAUGCCGCGUGCAGGAGGACGCAUCUAUGGUGUGUAAACUGCUUUUGUACGGGAAGAAACACUCCCUCGUGAGGGAGCUUGACGGUACCGUAAGAAUAAGGAUCGGCUAACUCCGUGCCAGCCGCCGCCGUAACAC